GUGUGUGUGUUUGUGUGUGUAUGUGUGUGUGUGUGUGUGUGUGUGUUUGUCCCCCCCCCCCUACCAUCGCUUGGCUACCGAUGUUGGUGUGUUUGUGACCCCGUAAUUUAGCGGUUCGGCAAGGAAACCGACUGAAUAAGUACUAGGUUCGCAAAGAAUAAGCCCUGUAUGUAUGUAUGUAUGUAUGUAUGUAUGUAUGUAUGUAUGUAUGUAUGUAUGUAUGUAUGUAUGUAUGCAUGUAUGUAUGUAUGUAUGUCAGGUCACUUUCGAGUGCUAUUGGUAACAUGUAAUCCAGUACAACCUGUUGCAUGGUCGGGUCGUCGUCGACUAAACCGGCAACCCCACCAAGCUUGCUUGGUGAGGAGGGUGUUUAUUGGACACCCUGCGGGAUGAAAAACAAAACCUGUCAAAGGGCGGAGGAACUCUUGAGAGUCAACGGCCAUCCAAUAAAUGUCUUAAGGAAGUAUCAUUCGCGGGGACAUAGAAAUAAUCGGACUGAAUACCCGAUCGCGCGGUUAAACCAUUGGGAGUGAAGGACUCCUAGCCUUUGUUAGGGCAUCCUUCUAGGAGAAGGUAACUCAGGUAACUGGGAUAACUCCGACAUAAAACCUGCGGCUCAGUAGUUACCGAUGAUGUUGACUUGUUCUUCUUUUCGGAUUAUGACUGCUGUUGCUUAGUGAGUGGGAUUAACUCAGUGCACAGCCUUUCCUCACUUUAAAAAAACUCUUCUUGCAUAGGCAUUGCACGAUAACAACAUUGAUUACGCUUCGUGCAAUGGCCAUACUCGAUAACGAGGGGGCAGCCACCAUGUAUGUAUGUAUGUAUGUAUGUAUGUAUGUAUGUAUGAAUAAAAUGUUAAAAGUAGUGUACAGUUAUUGAAUUUCGAAAAUACCAGAAUUUUGGAAAAAGAAUUGUUUUAUUUAGUCAUUCGUUCGCUUCUGUUUUUAUUCUUUGGGUCUCUAUUUCAACAGACAAAACAUGUCGCUCAUCUGCCUGCCACAGUCACUCUCAGGGCCGUCCCAUUUGGCAAGGGGAUGAAGACAGGGAUCUCUCCUAGGUACUCUGGCUUUAUACAAAGAAGGACCUCCGGUUUGAUUCCAAACCAGUUCUUCUGGGUCCAAAGCAACUGGAAUAGGCCGUAGAGAAAAAAUACAAGUAUUAAAGUUUUGAGUAAGAAGCCUUUCGGACUAUCUUCACAGAUCUACAUAAGAUUUCUUUGAUUCUGGUUUGUCUGUUGGUGGCUGAAGGCACGUGGAUUAGUCGUUAGGGUACUGGGCUCACAAUCAUAAAAUAGCGGGUUCGACUUCUAGGCCGAGUGACGUCUAGUUUUCUUGAGACAUAGCACUUCAGUUCACCUUCCACUCUACUCAGCUGCAAAUGAUUAUACGCUAAUUACUGGCGUAGUUAAUUAAUUACUGGUUUAGCUUCCUAUUGUUUCAGCUGUUACGUUCUGGAUGUUCGACUGGGUCAACAGGGUGGGUUGGGUAGCCCCGAGAGAGAGAGGGGGGGCUAUGUGUGUACGUGUGUGUGUGUGUAUGCGUGUGUGUGUGUGUAUGUGUGCGUGUGUGUGUAUGUGUGUGUGUGCAUCUGUUAGCGGUUAUUGUUGUUGUUGCUGUUUCUGUUGUGGUUGUUGUUGCUGCUGUAGUUGUUGUUGUCUUUGUUGCUUUUGCUGUUGUUGUUGUUGUUGUUGUGUGUGUGUGUAUUUGUGUGUGUGUGUGUGUGUGUGUGUGUGUGUGUGUGUGUGUGUGUGUGUGUAUCUGUUGGCGGUUACACAGGCACCUAAAACUAUUGACGAAAGCACGGUACAUUUUACCAGCUGCUAUUAGCUUCCGAAUGGCGGCUCCGUUGAUAUUGCUAGAAAUAGGAACUUAAGAGUCUAAUGUUAGGCAACAUCAACAAAGCUCGUGAUAUAUUAUGGCUCGAAGUAGAUCUUUCAUCUAUUUGAACACUGGACUUCAUGAUGAUGUCAGUCAUGAUGAUGAUGAUGAUGAUGAUGAUGAUGACGGCUGUUGUCAUGGUGACGGUCAUAUUGUUAUUGCUUGACUUCAUGCUAGCCGUGACCGAGAAAAGAUCUAUGGUUAAAUACGUACCUUCCAUAACAAUCUAUUCAUCUAUCCAUCGAUCGAUCGAUCGAUCCAUCGAUCUAUUCAUCCAUCCAUUCAUCCAUCCAUCCAUCCAUCCACUCCACCAUAUUUUCAGAAAUGGCGCAUCUUGAGCCAUACAAUCAAAUGAUUUUUUUUUAAAAGACAACGGCAUAUAAUUUAAGAGUGACUUGGUUGUUAUUUCUAGCCGGUCGCACGACCAUGCCGAGAAGAAAUCGUGGCCCUAGUGAUGAUGAUGAUGAUGAUGAUGAUGAUGAUGAUGAUGAUGAUGAUGACGACGAUGAUGAUGAUGAUGAUGACGAUGAUGAUGAUGACGAUGACGAUGAUGAUGAUGAUGACGAUGAUGAUGAUGAUGAUGACGAUUACGAUGAUGAUGACGAUGAUGAUGACGACGACGACGAUAACAAUGUGAAAGUGAUGAUGAUAGUGGAUGAUGAUGAUGAUGAUGAUAAUGAUGGUAAUGAUGAUGAUGAUGACGAUGAUAAAGACAUAAAUCAUUUGCCGACAAAGCUACACAAGCAAAUAAGAGCUGACAGGUAUACGCGAUGCAAAAGGAUGAUAAACCGCUCUGCGGCACAAAGUUGCCGUUUUGUUUUGGGACACACUGAAAGGAGCGGAAGGAGAUUCAGUACAUCAGGAUGAAGAAAGCAAACAGGAAGGAAAAUAUCUCAAGAGACAUAUUGGCAAAUAAACAAACAAACAAACAAACAAACAAACAAAUAGAUAAAUAAAUAAAUAAAUAAAUAAAUAGAUCAAUAAUGGGAAGCACAAAAGGAAGACGAACGCAAGGAAAAGAAAUUUAAGGAAAAAACAACAACAACAAAGCUAAACUAAUUUUAGAUUAGAGAAGGAAGAGACGUAAGCGGGCGCGCGCGCAAACAUAAAUACUAUACCUACCUAUAUAUACGCACGCGCACAUACAUUCACACAUGCGUUAUUGCAUGUAUAAACGUACACGCAUACAUAUAUAUGUAUGAGCAUUUAUAAUACAUAUAUGUGUAUGCGUGUGUGUAUGUGCGUGAGUGUGUGUGUGUGUGUGUGUGUGUGUGUAAUAUUGUUUAAUAAUAUGCCCACUCUACUGACAGGUAUACGAGUAGAUAUUCUCCUGAUUUACGGACUCUAAUACGACUUAUACACACACACACAUGUAUAUAUAUAUAUAUAUAUAUAUAUAUAUAUAUAUAUAUAAAGGUGUAUCUACAUCUAUAUAUCUGUGUGUGCAUAUAUAUAUAUUAUUAGCUACAUAUACAUAAUGUAUAUUCUUUGUGUCUUUUCCGGUGGCUGCAAUAGCGCGGGGGUAUAUAUACUCUCAAACCGCUGGGUGUAAAACACCUUAAGGUCAUGGACAGGCGGGAUAACUCACCUUCAAUCCCGUUUAGGAGUGAUGGACAACGGGUGUUUCGCUAUUUUUGUGGCUUGUCAACAUCUCGUACUCGCCUGGGUUGAAUGGAAAUCACCCAGCCACUCCACGAUCUAUAUACUCAUGGCUUGUAAAAUCAUGGGUUGUUACGCCCUGAUAUUUCAUAUGUAAAUUUUGGGAGCCGGACAUAGUCGCCCUCUCUCUCUCUCUCUCUCUCUCUCACACACACACACCACACACACACACACAUACACACAUGUUUUUUAUGAUUUUUUUAAACAGAAUCGAAAGAUUUUGACAGAAGAUAAAGUCUCAAAACAUGGUAUAGACCAGUGGUUCUCAAUUUGCGAAGUCUUGGUGGCCCCAAAGGUAGUACUUGGGGUUUGUGAACAUGUUAAACUGACAGACCUUUCAAUAUUUGGGAGUCCGUGGGAAAACUCAUUUAGAUAAAAGGGGUCCUUGACAGUGAAACGGUUGGGAACCACUGGUAUAGACUAUUAAUAUAUUUAAUUCGGCAGUUGCUUGAUGCUGCUAUUUGAAGUUUCUCACAAAUUCUCAAUCUAUGAAACAAGAUUGUUGAUCUGUCUGGAACAAACAAAUAAAUAAGAUAAAUAAAUAAAUAAAAAUGAAUAAAUAAAUAAGACGUUCUAAUCCAAGAUAGCGCCAAAUGCUCAUGGUUGAAUUGGUUAAUAUAUGUCAUGAGUGGUACUCAGUCGGCCACGAUGACGAAAGUUCUAUUUGAUCCGAUUAACGGAACAGCCUGAGCUCUCCACAGACCUUCAUAACCUUAACGUGGUUCUCACGAAGAUUUAACGUGACACUGAAUGUUAUAUGGCUGACCCUUUUGAAUUACAAGUACCACUCAUGUUUGCCUGGUGAGUGAGCUGGGAUAUCGUAAAAUUAAAUGCUUUGUUUAAGGACACAACGCCCCGCUGGGUAUCAAACUUACGAUCUUACGAUCUUGAGCCGAAUGCCCCAACCGCUAAGCCUGACAUCUUCAUCAUUAGUCACAUGAAUCACGCACUAGGGCAGCUUUUCACAGCUGAAAAUGUUUACAGAGAAAUAUGCAACAGAAUACAAUAUUCUUAAGCGGACAGUUUGUACUCCACUUCGCAGACAAAAUCAUGGUCGUGCUUUACAUUUUAGUUUAAAUUUUACGUUUCGAAUUUGUCGGUAACCCUUGUGGUAUUUGAUAAAAUAAGGCACCAGUAAGGUACUGGGUUAAUACAACAAACUAUGGAACCGCUGCUGCACUUAUGGUGGCAGUCGAAUCACUGGAACUAGUAUAAGAAUAAUGAAAUAAUGUCGAUGAAUCUUUCGAGUAUCAUUCGGUAAUAUGAUGCUCUAAUUUCUUUCUUAAAUUCUCUUUCAGUUGCUGACAAUGGGAUAAACGCAAACAAAACGAACAAACGAAGCAAUUCAAUGGCAUUCACGUCUCUUAUAAUCCGACAACGGUUGUCAUGCUGGAAUUAUUAAGACAGUAAGUUUUACCAUGGAGGAUACAGACUCUUUUUCAGAAAGCGAAAGUUGCAAAAGCGGGAG
rnacentral:lncRNA from 1 species